rnacentral:rRNA from 1 species
GGUGAAAAGCACCCCGGAAGGGGAGUGAAAUAGAACCUGAAACCGUGUGCUUACAAGUAGUCAGAGCCCGUUAAUGGGUGAUGGCGUGCCUUUUGUAGAAUGAACCGGCGAGUUACGAUUUGAUGCAAGGUUAAGCAGUAAAUGUGGAGCCGUAGCGAAAGCGAGUCUGAAUAGGGCGUUUAGUAUUUGGUCGUAGACCCGAAACCAGGUGAUCUACCCUUGGUCAGGUUGAAGUUCAGGUAACACUGAAUGGAGGACCGAACCGACUUACGUUGAAAAGUGAGCGGAUGAACUGAGGGUAGCGGAGAAAUUCCAAUCGAACCUGGAGAUAGCUGGUUCUCUCCGAAAUAGCUUUAGGGCUAGCCUCAAGUGAUGAUUAUUGGAGGUAGAGCACUGUUUGGACGAGGGGCCCCUCUCGGGUUACCGAAUUCAGACAAACUCCGAAUGCCAAUUAAUUUAACUUGGGAGUCAGAACAUGGGUGAUAAGGUCCGUGUUCGAAAGGGAAACAGCCCAGACCACCAGCUAAGGUCCCAAAAUAUAUGUUAAGUGGAAAAGGAUGUGGCGUUGCCCAGACAACUAGGAUGUUGGCUUAGAAGCAGCCAUCAUUUAAAGAGUGCGUAAUAGCUCACUAGUCGAGUGACACUGCGCCGAAAAUGUACCGGGGCUAAACAUAUUACCGAAGCUGUGGAUUGUCCUUUGGACAAUGGUAGGAGAGCGUUCUAAGGGCGUUGAAGCAUGAUCGUAAGGACAUGUGGAGCGCUUAGAAGUGAGAAUGCCGGUGUGAGUAGCGAAAGACGGGUGAGAAUCCCGUCCACCGAUUGACUAAGGUUUCCAGAGGAAGGCUCGUCCGCUCUGGGUUAGUCGGGUCCUAAGCUGAGGCCGACAGGCGUAGGCGAUGGAUAACAGGUUGAUAUUCCUGUACCACCUAUAAUCGUUUUAAUCGAUGGGGGGACGCAGUAGGAUAGGCGAAGCGUGCGAUUGGAUUGCACGUCUAAGCAGUAAGGCUGAGUAUUAGGCAAAUCCGGUACUCAUUAAGGCUGAGCUGUGAUGGGGAGAAGACAUUGUGUCUUCGAGUCGUUGAUUUCACACUGCCGAGAAAAGCCUCUAGAUAGAAAAUAGGUGCCCGUACCGCAAACCGACACAGGUAGUCAAGAUGAGAAUUCUAAGGUGAGCGAGCGAACUCUCGUUAAGGAACUCGGCAAAAUGACCCCGUAACUUCGGGAGAAGGGGUGCUCUUUAGGGUUAACGCCCAGAAGAGCCGCAGUGAAUAGGCCCAAGCGACUGUUUAUCAAAAACACAGGUCUCUGCUAAACCGUAAGGUGAUGUAUAGGGGCUGACGCCUGCCCGGUGCUGGAAGGUUAAGAGGAGUGGUUAGCUUCUGCGAAGCUACGAAUCGAAGCCCCAGUAAACGGCGGCCGUAACUAUAACGGUCCUAAGGUAGCGAAAUUCCUUGUCGGGUAAGUUCCGACCCGCACGAAAGGCGUAACGAUUUGGGCACUGUCUCAACGAGAGACUCGGUGAAAUCAUAGUACCUGUGAAGAUGCAGGUUACCCGCGACAGGACGGAAAGACCCCGUGGAGCUUUACUGUAGCCUGAUAUUGAAAUUCGGCACAGCUUGUACAGGAUAGGUAGGAGCCUUUGAAACGUGAGCGCUAGCUUACGUGGAGGCGCUGGUGGGAUACUACCCUAGCUGUGUUGGCUUUCUAACCCGCACCACUUAUCGUGGUGGGAGACAGUGUCAGGCGGGCAGUUUGACUGGGGCGGUCGCCUCCUAAAAGGUAACGGAGGCGCUCAAAGGUUCCCUCAGAAUGGUUGGAAAUCAUUCAUAGAGUGUAAAGGCAUAAGGGAGCUUGACUGCGAGACCUACAAGUCGAGCAGGGUCGAAAGACGGACUUAGUGAUCCGGUGGUUCCGCAUGGAAGGGCCAUCGCUCAACGGAUAAAAGCUACCCCGGGGAUAACAGGCUUAUCUCCCCCAAGAGUUCACAUCGACGGGGAGGUUUGGCACCUCGAUGUCGGCUCAUCGCAUCCUGGGGCUGUAGUCGGUCCCAAGGGUUGGGCUGUUCGCCCAUUAAAGCGGUACGCGAGCUGGGUUCAGAACGUCGUGAGACAGUUCGGUCCCUAUCCGUCGUGGGCGUAGGAAAUUUGAGAGGAGCUGUCCUUAGUACGAGAGGACCGGGAUGGACAUACCUCUGGUGUACCAGUUGUCGUGCCAACGGCAUAGCUGGGUAGCUAUGUGUGGACGGGAUAAGUGCUGAAAGCAUCUAAGCAUGAAGCCCCCCUCAAGAUGAGAUUUCCCAACUUCGGUUAUA